rnacentral:lncRNA from 1 species
CUUACAGCUACCUCCAAGAGUUUGGAGCACAGUCACGAAGCCAAAGGGCUUGGAAUGAGAGGAUGGAUUUCAGAUAAAGACUAGGAGCGGUACAUCCCACUAGAGCCCAAAGGAGAUCCCUGGAAUCAAAGACAACAGCCAGGGACCCUGCUACUCUACCGACUCCCAGUACAUCAAAGCCAUCACUUAGGCUGGUGCACGGUACCUCCAAAAAGCAAGCAAACAAACGCAGGAAGAACAAGAGUCAGUGUCUGUCUGUCUCUCUCUCUCUCCCCCCUCCCCCGUCUUCCCCCCUUUCAAAUCCUAGCCUCAGCGUCACUGCUACUGCAAUAGAUUUUUUAAAAAUGACAAGUUGUAUUUAUGUAAGUUCUAAAUAUGAACUAAUACCAUUGAAAUUACAAUGUCUGGAAUAAAAUAAAAUGCAAUCAGCACUUUAAGUAAUCUGCAAACAAAUGUAAAAACAACAUUUAUGUUUUUGAAGGCAUUGUUAGUAAACCCUGUAACAUCAGAUAGCUUGCUAAAACUUAUUUUUCUUGGAAAAAAAUGUUGCCCUAGCCUACCAAGAUUAUUUAUUUUAGAAGGAAUUUGGGAAUUAAUCAGGAAAUCUGUUUGAUUAGAAAAUAAUUCUUCAUUUUGAGAGAUUUUCCAAUGCUCUUAAGAGCAUGCAGCUUCUUAGUCAAGACUAGAGAGAAAAAAACCGGUUUAGGAUUUUGCAGGGUUACCUCAUCUAAUCCUUCUGAAUUCACUCUGGGAAUAAUGCUAUUUUAUUUAGAGGAGGGAAAAAAAGAAAAUACAUUUAGAAAAAUCAGGGGUUUCCUCUCUGUGAGCCAAAUCUGGGUUGCCAUUCAAACUUUUCCUGGCUGCUUUUCCAUAUGCAGGACAGCUGAUCAAUAAAGCCAAGUCCAGCCUGGCUUGCUACAGGUUUCACCAGUCAGGGCUUGCAAAACCUUUGUCAUUUUCUAAAAAUAAAAAAGCUAAAAGUUAUUGUAGAAGAAGGGGCUUUUUUUUUGUCCCCUGCACAAUGUGUCUUUUGUGAGGUUAAUGCCAUUCUGGGCUCUCGAUAGCCCUGGACAAUGGGGAACUCUCUAGGAGCCUGCAAAGACUCUAGCUUUUUUCUUUCUUGCCUUUUUUUUUUUUUUUUUUUUAAGGGAAGGAUGAAACAUUCCUACAGUCCAAACACAACCUCUACUUUGAUUAAAUAAAUAUUUAUCUUUAUUGUAGCCAUUGUAUAUUUUUACCUUCAGUUUGUCCGGUUUCUGAUUAUUAUUUUAAAUUUUUCAAUGGCAACAGUUAAUCUUUUUUUUUUUUUCCCUUUCAGUCCAAAGGGCAGGUCAGUGUAAAAUGUAGCUGACUGAAGGAAGACUGGUAAAUUCUGAAUUUUUCCAUAAUACAUCAGGUAAGGAAAAUUGUUCAGACCCUCAGGAAUAUAUUCACUUCCUUUUUAUCUGUCUUCACGAAUCUUCAUAAAGCUGUUUAUUUUUUUAAAGAUGUAGUAGAAUUAAAUUCCUCUUUGUAGAUCUUGAAAAAUCACUUAAAUACUAUGUAUUUAUUUUCUUUUAAAAUGUAAAUAGUACUAGAAGUGAACUUGUAGCUUGUUUCUUAUAUAAAACGGUGCGGAGGAAGUCAGUAUUUCCUUUGGUAUAAGCUAUUUGGAGGAAAUUCUGGAUAUAAAUGUAUUUCAUGUUACAAUAUAGGAAAAUGUCAGCUUAAUCUGGUAAAUACUUAUGCUAAUUUUACUGAGUGAAUUCGUUAUAAGGAGGAGAGGUACCAAGCCCGUAUGAUUGAAUAAUGCUUAGACGAUAAUCCAGCAUCUAUAUGGAUUAUUUUACGUACAAAAUGAAAAAAAAAGGAAACAAGAAAUUCAGAAUCUAAAUCUUUCAUUUAGCUGGCAAGAGGGCAGAAAAUUUUAGACCAACCUGUUUUUAAGACAUUUACAUUAGGAGGGAAAGUGGAAUGUAGGCUAAAUAUUGCAUUGCUGUGUACAUUUCUCUAGCUCUCACUCAAAUGAAUGGAUAUAGAUAUAAAAACACAAAAAUAUAUGCAUAAAGGGGUACAUAAAUAUACAUUUGAAUGAC